GAGGCUAUAGCUCAGUAGGUUAGAGCGUCGGAUUGUGGUUCCGAAGGUCGGGGGUUCGAGACCCCUUAGCCUCC
rnacentral:tRNA from 1 species